AGUGAACGCUGGCGGUAGGCCUAACACAUGCAAGUCGAACGGCAGCACAGUAAGAGCUUGCUCUUACGGGUGGCGAGUGGCGGACGGGUGAGGAAUACAUCGGAAUCUACUUUUUCGUGGGGGAUAACGUAGGGAAACUUACGCUAAUACCGCAUACGACCUACGGGUGAAAGCAGGGGAUCUUCGGACCUUGCGCGAUUGAAUGAGCCGAUGUCGGAUUAGCUAGUUGGCGGGGUAAAGGCCCACCAAGGCGACGAUCCGUAGCUGCUCUGAGAGGAUGAUCAGCCACACUGGAACUGAGACACGGUCCAGACUCCUACGGGAGGCAGCAGUGGGGAAUAUUGGACAAUGGGCGCAAGCCUGAUCCAGCCAUACCGCGUGGGUGAAGAAGGCCUUCGGGUUGUAAAGCCCUUUGUUGGGAAAGAAAAGCAGCAGGUUAAUACCCCGCUGUUCUGACGGUACCCAAAGAAUAAGCACCGGCUAACUUCGUG
rnacentral:rRNA from 1 species